rnacentral:rRNA from 1 species
CUCAUGUUAAAAAGAUAUAGAAAAAUAAAUUGUAUUUUUGGAUAAUAAAGAAAAAUGUACCCUUCCACGGUAAUAAAUAUAUUCAAUUACGUAGAAUGAAAACAAAAUGGAAUUUAGUAUUAGGCGCACACAACGUUUGAGCCGUAUGCGAUGAAAGUCGCACGUACGGUUCUAAGAGGGGGAAAGUCUGAGAAGACCUACCUAUCUCAACUAGAUACCCUAGUAGUCUCUGCAGAUAAUGAUGAAUGUCAUAGGUUAGGCUAAGAUAAGUUUAAUUUAUAAAUUAAAGUGUAAGCAUUCCACCUCACCACUAAUGUGGCAACGCAGGAACUGAAAUCACUAGGCCGUUUCUAACAUCAGCAGUGAAGUAUGUUGUUUAAUUCGAUGAUCCACGAAAAACCUUACCACAACUUGAAUAUUAGAUAUUUUUAAAAUAUUGUGUAUGUUUUAUAAAAUAUAAUUUUAUAAUAAAAGAAUAUAUUAUAUUAAUAAUAUAUAUAUAUUUGAGUAUACUUUAAUAAUUUAAUCUUAGUAUUGAAUUCUUAAAUAAUACAAGUGUUGCACGGCUGUCUUCAGUUAAUGCUGGAACCUUCGGUUUCGACCAGGCAAUUAACGAAAAACCUUAC